rnacentral:rRNA from 1 species
UGCGUAGGCGGCUCUGUAAGUAUGGUGUGAAAUCUCCCGGCUUAACUGGGAGGGUGCGCUAUAGACUGCGGGGCUCGAGUGUGGGAGAGGAAAGUGGAAUUCCUGGUGUAGCGGUGAAAUGCGUAGAUAUCAGGAGGAACACCGGUGGUGUAAACGGCUUUCUGGACCAUAACUGACGCUGAGGCACGAAAGCGUGGGUAGCAAACAGGAUUAGAUACCCUGGUAGUCCACGCCCUAAACGAUGCACAUUUGGUGUGGGUCAUUCAGUUGAUCCGUGCCGGAGCUAACGCGUUAAAUGUGCCGCCUGGGGAGUACAGUCGCAAGGCUGAA